rnacentral:rRNA from 1 species
UACGUAGGGGGCGAGCGUUGUCCGGAUUUAUUGGGCGUAAAGAGCUCGUAGGCGGUUUGGCAAGUCGGGUGUGAAAACUCCGGGCUCAACUCGGAGACGCCACUCGAUACUGCCAUGACUCGAGUCCGGUAGGGGAGUGCGGAAUUCCUGGUGUAGCGGUGAAAUGCGUAGAUAUCUGGAGGAACACCGGUGGCGAAGGCGGCAUCCUGGACCGGUAUUGACGCUGAGGCGCGAAAGCCAGGGGAGCAAACGGG